rnacentral:rRNA from 1 species
ACUCAAAUGAAUAGACGGGGGCCCGCACAAGCGGCGGAGCAUGUGGAUUAAUUCGAUGCAACGCGAAGAACCUUACCAAGGCUUGACAUACACCGGAAACACCCAGAGAUGGGUGCCCCGCAAGGUCGGUGUACAGGUGGUGCAUGGUUGUCGUCAGCUCGUGUCGUGAGAUGUUGGGUUAAGUCCCGCAACGAGCGCAACCCUCGUUCUAUGUUGCCAGCGCGUCAAGGCGGGGACUCAUAGGAGACUGCCGGGGUCAACUCGGAGGAAGGUGGGGAUGACGUCAAAUCAUCAUGCCCCUUAUGUCUUGGGCUUCACACAUGCUACAAUGGCCGGUACAAAGGGCUGCGAAAUCGCAAGAUGGAGCGAAUCCCAAAAAACCGGUCUCAGUUCGGAUUGGGGUCUGCAACUCGACCCCAUGAAGUCGGAGUCGCUAGUAAUCGCAGAUCAGCAACGCUGCGGUGAAUACGUUCCCGGGCCUUGCACACACCGCCCGU